rnacentral:rRNA from 1 species
AGAGUUUGAUCCUGGCUCAGGAUGAACGCUGGCGGCGUGCUUAACACAUGCAAGUCGAACGAAGCACUUUAUUUGAUUUCCUUCGGGACUGAUUAUUUUGUGACUGAGUGGCGGACGGGUGAGUAACGCGUGGGUAACCUGCCUUGUACAGGGGGAUAACAGUUGGAAACGGCUGCUAAUACCGCAUAAGCGCACGGCAUCGCAUGAUGCAGUGUGAAAAACUCCGGUGGUAUAAGGUGGACCCGCGUUGGAUUAGCUAGUUGGUGAGGUAACGGCCCACCAAGGCGACGAUCCAUAGCCGACCUGAGAGGGUGACCGGCCACAUUGGGACUGAGACACGGCCCAAACUCCUACGGGAGGCAGCAGUGGGGAAUAUUGCACAAUGGGCGAAAGCCUGAUGCAGCGACGCCGCGUGAGCGAAGAAGUAUUUCGGUAUGUAAAGCUCUAUCAGCAGGGAAGAUAAUGACGGUACCUGACUAAGAAGCACCGGCUAAAUACGUGCCAGCAGCCGCGGUAAUACGUAUGGUGCAAGCGUUAUCCGGAUUUACUGGGUGUAAAGGGAGCGCAGGCGGUGCGGCAAGUCUGAUGUGAAAGCCCGGGGCUCAACCCCGGUACUGCAUUGGAAACUGUCGUACUAGAGUGUCGGAGGGGUAAGCGGAAUUCCUAGUGUAGCGGUGAAAUGCGUAGAUAUUAGGAGGAACACCAGUGGCGAAGGCGGCUUACUGGACGAUAACUGACGCUGAGGCACGAAAGCGUGGGGAGCAAACAGGAUUAGAUACCCUGGUAGUCCACGCCGUAAACGAUGGAUACUAGGUGUAGGCAUCGUAAGAUGUCUGUGCCGCAGCAAACGCAUUAAGUAUCCCGCCUGGGGAGUACGACCGCAAGGUUGAAACUCAAAGGAAUUGACGGGGGCCCGCACAAGCAGCGGAGCAUGUGGUUUAAUUCGAAGCAACGCGAAGAACCUUACCAAGGCUUGACAUCCUCUGACCGCCAUAGAGAUAUGGCUUCCCUUCGGGGCAGAGAGACAGGUGGUGCAUGGUUGUCGUCAGCUCGUGUCGUGAGAUGUUGGGUUAAGUCCCGCAACGAGCGCAACCCUUAUCAUUAGUUGCCAGCGAGUAACGUCGGGAACUCUAAUGAGACUGCCGGGGACAACUCGGAGGAAGGUGGGGACGACGUCAAAUCAUCAUGCCCCUUAUGUCUUGGGCUACACACGUGCUACAAUGGCCGGUACAAAGAGCUGCGAAACCGUAAGGUCAAGCGAAUCUCAAAAAGCCGGUCCCAGUUCGGAUUGUGGGCUGCAACCCGCCCACAUGAAGUCGGAGUUGCUAGUAAUCGCGAAUCAGCAUGUCGCGGUGAAUGCGUUCCCGGGCCUUGUACACACCGCCCGUCACACCAUGGAAGUUGGGGGUACCCGAAGCCGGUGGCCUAGCCGCAAGGAGGGGGCCGUCGAAGGUAAAACCAAUGACUGGGGUGAAGUCGUAACAAGGUA